GGCCGCUCCUGGACCCUAGGACUCUGUGUGUCGGGUGUCGGAUUGGGUGGCAUGGGGGAGUACUUGCUGCAUUUGAUCCUCUACAACUGGUGUUGCUCCCGUUAUGCGGACAGAAGACAGCCCCAGGGAACAAAUGCUAGGAAAUGGCAGGGUGAGAAAACUGAGGCAUGGAGAGGUUACAAUAUAACUUAGAUCUCCCAGCUGGCAAGUAAUGGUUUAAGCCAGGAGCCUACACACUUCCUCCUACUUCCUCUAUGGGUGCUGGUGAUCUGCCGACUCCUAGACAUCCAGCUUUAAGGUCCUCAGUGAAGCUUCUCUGCCCCCAGGCCUGUCCAUGUCAGAGCACCAUGGGUGUCCCUUUGAAAGUAUCUCCUACAGGUCAGUGAUUAUGCAGUCUAUGUGUAAACCAAAGGGUUCCAAGGGUUUUGGCCUUCCAACUAUUUUUGUGUGUGUGUGAAUAUGACAGCACUGUGCACCUCACCUGCAUGCUGGGAACAGUGAUGUGCCCCUGUUCUGCCCCAAGUACUAAGUUGGGUCCCUCUGGCCAACUUAGUACUUAAUUCUCCUGCCCUGGCUGCUCCCUAGAAACCCUGGCUCUGAUUGCUGGGCCCACACUGCCACCUAGCGGUGCCCCCUCUCAUGCCCUCACUAGCCAAAUUUCCAUAGAUUCUUCUCUUCUAGGAUAAUCCCUCUCCUGCACCCCAGGGAUUGAACUUACUGCAAGAUUCCCCUGCCACUCCCUACCCAGAACAAUCACAAGAUGAAUCACAAGAAUACACAGCAGUGCCUUCCCAAAAGUCUCGCUCAUUUGGCCUCCAUCCUCUCACCAUGUACAGCCUCCCCUCUCCAGUAAGGACAGAGUGUGUGUGUGUGUGUGUGUGUGUGUGUGUGUGUGUGUGUGUAGGAUUUAGCCCCCCUCACUUUAAGCUAUUCCAAAGUCUCUGUCCCCUUGGACACACAGCUACAUGAAGGGCUGUGUGGCAGAGUCUGCCAUCAUGAACCCACUCCUGACCAGACCUAGCCAUCCUGCAUGCCAAAUCCUCCCAUCAUUGUGGAGGGGAUGCUGCAGGUGGUUGCUGGAACAUGAGCACUAAGGGAAACCACAUAUUCUGACUUUCCUGGGCUAAGUGAGUAGUUUCAAGGCAUCUCUCCGAUGGACCCAUGUGGGGAAUGCGUGUGCCUGUGGAAGCAUGGACACUGGUUAUAGGGACUGGGAGGGGAGAAGCAGCACCUUUGCCUUACUUUUCAUACUUCUGUAUAAUUUGAAUUAAUUACAAUGAGGAAGUUUUACUUAUGCAACUUAAAAUUUUAAUAAAAG
rnacentral:lncRNA from 10 species